rnacentral:rRNA from 1 species
GCGAUACAGGGUGACAGCCCCGUACACAAAAAUGCACAUAUUGUGAGCUCGAUGAGUAGGGCGGGACACGUGGUAUCCUGUCUGAAUAUGGGGGGACCAUCCUCCAAGGCUAAAUACUCCUGACUGACCGAUAGUGAACCAGUACCGUGAGGGAAAGGCGAAAAGAACCCCGGCGAGGGGAGUGAAAAAGAACCUGAAACCGUGUACGUACAAGCAGUGGGAGCCUCUUAAUGGGGUGACUGCGUACCUUUUGUAUAAUGGGUCAGCGACUUAUAUUCUGUAGCAAGGUUAACCGAAUAGGGGAGCCGAAGGGAAACCGAGUCUUAACUGGGCGUUAAGUUGCAGGGUAUAGACCCGAAACCCGGUGAUCUAGCCAUGGGCAGGUUGAAGGUUGGGUAACACUAACUGGAGGACCGAACCGACUAAUGUUGAAAAAUUAGCGGAUGACUUGUGGCUGGGGGUGAAAGGCCAAUCAAACCGGGAGAUAGCUGGUUCUCCCCGAAAGCUAUUUAGGUAGCGCCUCGUGAAUUCAUCUCCGGGGGUAGAGCACUGUUUCGGCAAGGGGGUCAUCCCGACUUACCAACCCGAUGCAAACUGCGAAUACCGGAGAAUGUUAUCACGGGAGACACACGGCGGGUGCUAACGUCCGUCGUGAAGAGGGAAACAACCCAGACCGCCAGCUAAGGUCCCAAAGUCAUGGUUAAGUGGGAAACGAUGUGGGAAGGCCCAGACAGCCAGGAUGUUGGCUUAGAAGCAGCCAUCAUUUAAAGAAAGCGUAAUAGCUCACUGGUCGAGUCGGCCUGCGCGGAAGAUGUAACGGGGCUAAACCAUGCACCGAAGCUGCGGCAGCGACACUAUGUGUUGUUGGGUAGGGGAGCGUUCUGUAAGCCUGUGAAGGUGGCCUGUGAGGGUUGCUGGAGGUAUCAGAAGUGCGAAUGCUGACAUAAGUAACGAUAAAGCGGGUGAAAAGCCCGCUCGCCGGAAGACCAAGGGUUCCUGUCCAACGUUAAUCGGGGCAGGGUGAGUCGACCCCUAAGGCGAGGCCGAAAGGCGUAGUCGAUGGGAAACAGGUUAAUAUUCCUGUACUUGGUGUUACUGCGAAGGGGGGACGGAGAAGGCUAUGUUGGCCGGGCGACGGUUGUCCCGGUUUAAGCGUGUAGGCUGGUUUUCCAGGCAAAUCCGGAAAACCAAGGCUGAGGCGUGAUGACGAGGCACUACGGUGCUGAAGCGACAAAUGCCCUGCUUCCAGGAAAAGCCUCUAAGCAUCAGGUAACAUCAAAUCGUACCCCAAACCGACACAGGUGGUCAGGUAGAGAAUACCAAGGCGCUUGAGAGAACUCGGGUGAAGGAACUAGGCAAAAUGGUGCCGUAACUUCGGGAGAAGGCACGCUGAUAUGUAGGUGAAGCGACUUGCUCGUGGAGCUGAAAUCAGUCGAAGAUACCAGCUGGCUGCAACUGUUUAUUAAAAACACAGCACUGUGCAAACACGAAAGUGGACGUAUACGGUGUGACGCCUGCCCGGUGCCGGAAGGUUAAUUGAUGGGGUUAGCGGUAACGCGAAGCUCUUGAUCGAAGCCCCGGUAAACGGCGGCCGUAACUAUAACGGUCCUAAGGUAGCGAAAUUCCUUGUCGGGUAAGUUCCGACCUGCACGAAUGGCGUAAUGAUGGCCAGGCUGUCUCCACCCGAGACUCAGUGAAAUUGAACUCGCUGUGAAGAUGCAGUGUACCCGCGGCAAGACGGAAAGACCCCGUGAACCUUUACUAUAGCUUGACACUGAACAUUGAGCCUUGAUGUGUAGGAUAGGUGGGAGGCUUUGAAGUGUGGACGCCAGUCUGCAUGGAGCCGACCUUGAAAUACCACCCUUUAAUGUUUGAUGUUCUAACGUGGGCCCCUAAUCGGGGUUGCGGACAGUGUCUGGUGGGUAGUUUGACUGGGGCGGUCUCCUCCUAAAGAGUAACGGAGGAGCACGAAGGUUGGCUAAUCCUGGUCGGACAUCAGGAGGUUAGUGCAAUGGCAUAAGCCAGCUUGACUGCGAGCGUGACGGCGCGAGCAGGUGCGAAAGCAGGUCAUAGUGAUCCGGUGGUUCUGAAUGGAAGGGCCAUCGCUCAACGGAUAAAAGGUACUCCGGGGAUAACAGGCUGAUACCGCCCAAGAGUUCAUAUCGACGGCGGUGUUUGGCACCUCGAUGUCGGCUCAUCACAUCCUGGGGCUGAAGUAGGUCCCAAGGGUAUGGCUGUUCGCCAUUUAAAGUGGUACGCGAGCUGGGUUUAGAACGUCGUGAGACAGUUCGGUCCCUAUCUGCCGUGGGCGCUGGAGAACUGAGGGGGGCUGCUCCUAGUACGAGAGGACCGGAGUGGACGCAUCACUGGUGUUCGGGUUGUCAUGCCAAUGGCACUGCCCGGUAGCUAAAUGCGGAAGAGAUAAGUGCUGAAAGCAUCUAAGCACGAAACUUGCCCCGAGAUGAGUUCUCCCUGAGACUUAGAGUCUCCUGAAGGAACGUUGAAGACGACGACGUUGAUAGGCCGGGUGUGUAAGCGCAGCGAUGCGUUGAGCUAACCGGUACUAAUGAACCGUGAGGCUUAACCUU